rnacentral:rRNA from 1 species
UACGAGGGGGGCUAGCGUUGCUCGGAAUCACUGGGCGUAAAGGGUGCGUAGGCGGGUCUUUAAGUCAGGGGUGAAAUCCUGGAGCUCAACUCCAGAACUGCCAUUGAUACUGUUUGGCUUGAGUAUAGUUGCUGUGGGCGGAAUAUGACAUGUAGUGGUGAAAUACAUAGAGAUGUCAUAGAACACCGAUUGCGAAGGCAGCUCACAAAACUAUAACUGACGCUGAGGCACGAAAGUGCGGGGAUCAAACAGG